GGGAUAAAAGGCGGCUGCGUCCCUCCCUCACCCUCUCACUUCCUGGCUCGAAGGCCCUCCAACUUCCUGGCCUUUUACUUCCUCCUCUGCUCUCCAUGUGGUGAUCCAUGGGGGCUGAGGUGAUUGCGAUGACCUCCAUUGUUUUGCCAUAAGCAAGUAAAGCCUUCAGUGGAUCCUGAACACAUCACUGGCGCACCAUAGAUGCUCCAGUUAGCACGAAGAAGUGCAGAGCCUCCUCAUCCUUCUCCUCACUGGGAGGAUGCUCGCUGACCGGGACCUGUGGCUGAACUCUGGACAGUAAGAUAAGUGCAGGAACACUGCUGCUUCGUCUACCCUCGGUGUGCAGUGGCCGUUUUGCUUGGGACUGCUCUGUCGCCCUGCUACAUAGACUAUAGCUGCGGUGCAUGCUGCUCUCUGCUUCGCUAGCUGCUUUCUGCUUUGCUCGCCGCCUCCUGCUUCGCUUGCUAUUGUGACUGUUUUCUGCAAGUUAAUGCUCGGCUCCCGGUCUUUGUCUCCGAGUGGCCGGCUCCAGCGGCAGUUGCCCAGUCGGGACUGUGUGUGUGUGGAUGAGUGGGUAAUUUUAUGUUUUUUUGAGUGUAUUGUAUAUUUUUUUGGAAAUGAUUGGUUGGUCAUUUAUCAUUUAGUUUUUAUGUUAAUUGAAUGAUUAUGUCCAUUUGAUUUAGUAUCUCUGGCCAGAGACCCUGUUUCUUUGCUUACUCUUUUUUUUGAUUUUUGAGUUUGUUAAGUUAUCAGUUAUGAAAUACUUUAAUGAUUGUUGUUUCCUAAUUUCUAUUUGAGUUUCAGCCCCAGGCUGUUGGUAUUUUGUGUUAGGACAUUUGUUAUUAUAAUUCUUUUUAUGAUUUUUGUACUUGCAUAUUGUGUUACUAAUUGUGUUCUCCCCUCUCCCUUUAGUUGCUGAGAGCCAAUGGUGGUGGCGGUGUCCAGGGUGGUGGUUUCCUUUUGUGUGUUGUGUGAUUCUGGAUUUUGGUUUUCUUUGCACUUCAUUUUUUUUGCUGUGUGCCACGUACGAGUGGGGUGCUCCUUAUUUAAUUUGGACUUCCUUCCCCUAGUUUUCCCCUCACUACCGGUAAGCCUCAGCACUGGAGCAGCACUUUAGUUCUCUUUUAAGUUAUUUUUACAUAUUGUGACCAACUAAAAUAAUUUAUUAAAUAUUUGUUAAACAUUGAA